CCUUCAGUGUUCUAUGGGCAGAGGACCGCCAGGGAGGAGAAGAGAGUCAGAGGAGCUGGAGAGCGAGAGAAAGAGGACCCAGUGAAGGGAAAGGGAGAACGAGAGUGGCAAAGGAUAUGAAGAAUGUAGAGGGCAUUUGGUAAAAAGCAGUAUUUCAGUGUGGAGUCAAUUGAGGGGACUAUUUUCAUGAAGCCAUUAGAAGACUGUUGCUGACUAAGAGGAGUCUGGCAGUAACCCAGAACUAUCAGAGGCAGAGGAUCGCUCUUUCAGCUGCUGCUGACAAUAACUGCAUUCAGGCAACAACCCAUACCAUACUGGUGGUAGGUAGCCCAUCGGCUAUGGACUUGGACCUGUGGCAGGAGUUGGACCUAUGGCGGAAAGAUGACAGGUUCGAAUCCUGGGCCGGGCGCUGUGGGAAAAAACAGGUGGAAUUGAUCUGACAACUGGAGUGCUUCUGGGUUCACAUCCUCAAAACAUUCCCCUACUGUUGGGCCCUUGAGCAAGGCCCUUAACCCCACAACAUGCUCUCCAUCCAGGUGCGCUGCACUGCAGCAUGAACUUGUAUCUGUGAGGUCUGCUGUUUGGGGGGGGGUUGAAAAUGGAGCAGAAGACACCUUUUUGUUGUUCAUAACUAAUUGACAGAGUUGUAUUGUGUUGUGUUAUAAAUGUCAGUCAGAGUUGACAUGGGCCAUCAUUUAAACAAAGAGAUGCCUCCCUGGCCUCCAGUGCACAUUUCCAAACAC